rnacentral:sRNA from 2 species
GCUUUUGCAAAAUCAAAAGCCGAGUGUGGAAACUCGAAAGAACAUCAGGCGAACAAUAGCACGCCUUUAACUCGUGCUUUUUUU